AGGGAAGACAGCAGAGUGUACAUCACACACUACUACACAGACUUCACCGGGCUGUACCUCCAUUCAACACUAAGCCAGGUUGGUAAACCUUAUAAUUAUAGGAUCAUAUUUUAUGACGCAUCAAAUUUGUUGUGAAUAGUAUACAAAGAGACUGUAAAACCUUGUUGGUUUCAAUGUUGCCAUGCAAGACCAGAUUGAUGGUUUGCGCGCAAAGCUCGCCUAUGAAAUUGUGACCAUGAAGGGGAACAAGGGAGACGUUCCAGAGUUCGCAUACGAUGUGAUCAUAGACUGAUGGCCUGAAGAUGAGCAUGCAAGCAGGACCCUGGAAAGGCCGACUACGGGCUCCACAGAUCUUUUGUCUAUCCUUGUGGUAUUAGUAGUUGCACAACUGAAGGACUAAGGUUUCAUUUUGGAUCGCUUGAAAAACCACUAAGGCACAAAAUACUAGUUUUAACCAGCGAUUUAUGUGCAUGGGAUGUGACAAAAAGUAUGUAACCCCUAAGUAUGACCUUAAGACUUAUUAGCUGGUGUCCGACAGUAGUGCGGACGACUACAUGUCCUGGGCAAGUGAAAACUUAUCACUAUCACUUUGUGGCUGUUAUCAGUCAUGUGCAUGUGGCGCGAUUAGAGAAUUUGAUAGGUCUUCACUAGUAUUUGUUUGUGCAAAAUGAAGCAGGGGAUCAGUAGUACGAAGCGAUUUACCUGAUAAUGAGGAUGUUGUAUGUUGGUGGGGAAAGUUCCUUCAGCAUAGUGAUCGGCGGUAGUAACAUGAUU
rnacentral:lncRNA from 1 species